CCCGGAUGAAAACGUUGUAUGACAGAUCCGAAGUUAAAGUAGCUAUGGUUUGGUGUUGGCACACCAUGAGGAGUUUAACUGAUGCAUGUACGCUGCAGGUUCUCACCACUCCAUGAGAGAUGGGAUGAACACCGUUUCAUUUUAGGAAAUUUCAGCCACUGCAUGGCCUUUAGCACUGAAAACGACUGAAUUCUCAACCCACGUUGGCUUCUUUUCAGCUAUCUGACUUCAACAUGGCUGUUCACUCGGAUGGAUUAAUUUGCCAUGCUCACUGCUGUUUCGUCUGCUUUGUUACUUUCUCCCUGAAGCAGAGGCGAUGAAAGGUUCAGAUUGUUGCCCUUGUGAGAAGAACUCAUAGUGCUGUGAAAACGGACUCAAGAAGCAACUCAUGGUGAGCUAAACUGAAUGCACCCUGUUGUUCCAAGCGGGAGUUUUUCUUGCCUCAGCCAACUGACAGCAGACUCUCAGACCUGAUAGUUCACGAUUGGAGAGAAUGCAAGCAGAACAGAGACAGGAACUCUGAAUGUGGAGGGGAGAUACCUACUCGCUGCACUCCCAAAGCAAACAUUUUCACUGCUAAUCUGAAGUAUAUCCAGCUACGCAUUGAAGUGGAACCUUUUCUUCAUCAUCCGAGAUUGUGGAAAACACCAACAUCCUUGAAAACAUAAGCUGAAAUCAAGGACAGAGUGUGCAUAAAGUGGAGAAAACUGGUUUUCCGUGCAUUAAGGUCCCUACUGUUGGAAGUGAAGACUUUCACCAGGGUAUACAAUGAAAGGGUAUGGUGAAUUUUAAUCUGCUAUGGCUGCCCGUUAAUUUUAGCUCCUUAUAACAGACAAACGAGGAAAAGAAGACAUGAAGGCAAGUUACUCUCAGGAAUAGAAACUCUUUGAAAUCAAGGGUACCAUGGAUCCGCUAAUGUGCUUCCAUCCAGUAUUCUUCUGUCCACUAUGGCAAGAUGGUACUAGACAAACAGCAAUCACAGUCAGGAAUGACAUUUGGACCAUAAAAAAACCUCCUCAGAGAUAAACACGGAGUCACAGAACAGGCCACACACUUUGCAGACUGGUGUAAGAUGAGAGCGAUGAAAAGGAUUUGCCAGAAAUCACCUGCUUUGUCUUCUUUGCAAGUCAAGAAAAGCUGGAUAAAGACCUUCUUCUUACCAUUCCAUAGCGUUUUAAAGCCAAUUCUGACCCUCAUGAAGGACGCAUGAAAUCCUGAUACUUGACUGAAUUUAUUUAUGUAUUAGCUAUUCUCUCACUAUGGCAAUGUGCAGCAGUGGCCGGCAGCCCAGAACAACUCAUUCUCUCUUACCCCACCCCCAUGCUUCCAGGAAGUAGCACAUUGCUGGUUAACAGACCAGGCUAUAGAACACUUUGCUUUCUCGAAAUUCCUGUGACUAUAUUGAAUUGUCUGCCAACCAUAUACAUAUGGAUAACUAAAAAUGUGAGAGGCAUGUAUUUUUCCAGUCACAUUUAAUUGCAUCAGCAUGGCAUUCUCUUGGCUUUUGUAGCAACAGCUAAUGAGCCAUAUGUGGAAGGGUCCAGAUGUUUGGAUUAUAUGCUCUUCCAAUCCAUUAUGCAAAUGUCCAUUUAUGACAACGUGUGGCAUUGUGUGGAGAGAAGAAGGGCUGCAUCACCAGUAAGGAAAUCAAAGUGGAGGCUAAUUACACUGCUGCUCUUUGCAAAUGGGGAAUUUCUUUCUGAGCGUGUUAUUUUCAAUAUGAAAUGAUGGGGUUGAAAAAUGAUUUGUGGUUUGUAUUUUCAUGGACCCUUUACUUGUUAUUAUUUAGGUAACCAUAUGUCUACUUUAAAUAGCU